UGGGGAAUAUUGGACAAUGGGGGCAACCCUGAUCCAGCCAUGCCGCGUGAGUGAUGAAGGCCCUAGGGUUGUAAAGCUCUUUCAGUGGGGAAGAUAAUGACGGUACCCACAGAAGAAGCCCCGGCUAACUUCGUGCCAGCAGCCGCGGUAAUACGAAGGGGGCUAGCGUUGUUCGGAAUUACUGGGCGUAAAGCGCGCGUAGGCGGACAUUUAAGUCAGGGGUGAAAUCCCGGGGCUCAACCCCGGAACUGCCUCUGAUACUGGGUGUCUAGAGUUCGGAAGAGGUAAGUGGAAUUGCGAGUGUAGAGGUGAAAUUCGUAGAUAUUCGCAGGAACACCAGUGGCGAAGGCGACUUACUGGUCCGAUACUGACGCUGAGGUGCGAAAGCGUGGGGAGCAAACAGG
rnacentral:rRNA from 1 species